rnacentral:rRNA from 1 species
UGGCGAACGGGUGAGUAACGCGUGAGGAACCUGCCUCAAAGAGGGGGACAACAGUUGGAAACGACUGCUAAUACCGCAUAAGCCCACGGGUCGGCAUCGACCUGAGGGAAAAGGAGCAACCCGCUUUGAGAUGGCCUCGCGUCCGAUUAGCUAGUUGGUGAGGUAACGGCCCACCAAGGCGACGAUCGGUAGCCGGACUGAGAGGUUGAACGGCCACAUUGGGACUGAGACACGGCCCAG